rnacentral:rRNA from 1 species
AGAGUUUGAUCCUGGCUCAGGAUGAACGCUGGCGGCGUGCCUAACACAUGCAAGUCGAGCGGUAUACAUUGGAAUGAAACUUCGGUCGAGUGAAGAUGUAGUGAAAGCGGCGGACGGGCGAGUAACGCGUAGGCAACCUACCUUAUGCAAAGGGAUAGCCUCGGGAAACUGGGAUUAAUACCUUAUAAUACUUUGGAGUCGCAUGACUCUAAAGUCAAAGAUUUAUCGGCAUAAGAUGGGCCUGCGUCUGAUUAGCUAGUUGGUAAGGUAACGGCUUACCAAGGCGACGAUCAGUAGCCGACCUGAGAGGGUGAUCGGCCACACUGGAACUGAGACACGGUCCAGACUCCUACGGGAGGCAGCAGUGGGGAAUAUUGCACAAUGGGCGAAAGCCUGAUGCAGCAACGCCGCGUGAGCGAUGAAGGCCUUCGGGUCGUAAAGCUCUGUCCUAAGGGAAGAAUAAAUGACGGUACCUUAGGAGGAAGCCCCGGCUAACUACGUGCCAGCAGCCGCGGUAAUACGGAGGAUGCAAGCGUUAUCCGGAUUCAUUGGGUUUAAAGGGUGCGCAGGUGGGAAAAUAAGUCAGUGGUGAAAUACUGCCGCUUAACGGUAGAAAGCCUUAGGAACUGUAAGUCUUGAGUGCAGGAGAGGAAAGCGGAAUUCCUAGUGUAGCGGUGAAAUGCGUAGAUAUUAGGAGGAACACCAGUGGCGAAGGCGACUUUCUGGACUGUAACUGACGCUGAGGCGCGAAAGCGUGGGGAGCAAACAGGAUUAGAUACCCUGGUAGUCCACGCCGUAAACGAUGAGUGCUAGGUGUAGAGGGUAUCGACCCCUUCUGUGCCGCAGCAAUAAGCACUCCGCCUGGGAGUACGGUCGCAAGACUGAAACUCAAAGGAAUUGACGGGGGCCCGCACAAGCAGCGGAGCAUGUGGUUUAAUUCGACGCAACGCGAAGAACCUUACCAGGACUUGACAUCCCGGUAAUCAUUGUCUGAAAGGAUGAGUUCCCUUCGGGGACGAGGAGACAGGUGGUGCAUGGUUGUCGUCAGCUCGUGUCGUGAGAUGUUGGGUUAAGUCCCGCAACGAGCGCAACCCUUGUCUUUAGUUGCCAGCACGUAAUGGUGGGCACUCUAGUGAGACUGCCGGAGACAAUUCGGAGGAAGGUGGGGAUGACGUCAAAUCAUCAUGCCCCUUAUGUUCUGGGCUACACACGUGCUACAAUGGCCGGUACAAAGGGCAGCAAAGCCGCAACAGCAAGCCAAUCCCUUAAAGCCGGUCUCAGUUCGGAUUGUAGGCUGAAACCCGCCUACAUGAAGUUGGAGUUGCUAGUAAUCGCGAAUCAGCAUGUCGCGGUGAAUACGUUCCCGGGCCUUGUACACACCGCCCGUCACACCCACCAUGGGAGUUAGAGGCACCCGAAGCCGGUGACUUAACCGUAAGGAGAGAGCCGUCGAAGGUGAAGCUAGCGACUGGGGUGAAGUCGUAACAAGGUAACC